rnacentral:misc_RNA from 1 species
CACAGCUCACCCUAUCUGCACCAGAUGAAGAGUUAGGUAAAGGAGAAUGAACAAGUGAUGAAACCUGUGAAAUAUUUGCCAAACAUUCUAGCUUCCGGUUCAUCCAACAACAUUAGCGUGACUCAUUACUUCCUGGAAAUGCAUGAAGAGCCAACUCACCAUUGUUGAACUUUAUCUAAACCACAACAAAACAUGCCAACAAAGCAAUUGAG